UCAGCCCUGAAAUAUCGCUAACAGUUGUUUGGAGCUGUUGGUUUCAAGCAGGUGCCUAAAGAAAUGUCUUUCUAUGGUUGUUGGCCAUUUCAGAAAGUUGGAAAUGUAAUGAUCAAUUCAUUAGAAAGAAACAUGU
rnacentral:snoRNA from 1 species